AGAGGAAGUAAAAGUCGUAACAAGGUUUCCGUAGGUGAACCUGCGGAAGGAUCAUUAACGAAUUACAAAGUCGGCCUUGCUGUUGCUGGUGGAAACACAUGUGCACGCUYGGUCGCAAAUCCACACACCUGUGCAUCUAUGACCCGAGGUUGUCRUCGUAUGACCGAGGGUAAAWUUUACACACUCUUGAAUGUAAUGGAAUGUCUCUUGUGCAUAAUGUACAAUUAAACAACUUUCAACAACGGAUCUCUUGGCUCUCGCAUCGAUGAAGAACGCAGCGAAAUGCGAUAAGUAAUGUGAAUUGCAGAAUUCAGUGAAUCAUCGAAUCUUUGAACGCACCUUGCACCCUUUGGUAUUCCGAAGGGUACGCCCGUUUGAGCGUCAUUGUAAUCUCACUUCUACCACUUUGUUGUUGUAGAAUGUGGACUUGGACGUCUGCCGUGUCACAACGGCUCGUCUUAAAUGCCUGAGUGUACCCCGCUUUGCGGCGUAUUCGGUGUGAUAAACAUUUCACCGGAGUUUGGUCUCUGACCGCGCUUUAGCAAUUGGUGGGCUCUAUGCUUUCCAACCGUCUUUAUAAGACAAUCUUUGACAAUUUGACCUCAAAUCGGGCGGGACUACCCGCUGAACUUAAGCAUAUCAAUAAGCGGAGGAAAAGAAACUAACAAGGAUUCCCCUAGUAACGGCGAGUGAAGAGGGAAAAGCUCAAAUUUUGAAUCUGGUGUCUUUGACUCCCGAGUUGUAAUCUAGAGAAGUGUUUUCCGUGUCGGACCGUGUACAAGUUCCCUGGAACGGGGCGUCAUAGAGGGUGAGAAUCCCGUAUAUGCCACGGACUACCGAUGCUCUGUGAUACACUCUCAACGAGUCGAGUUGUUUGGGAAUGCAGCUCAAAAUGGGUGGUAAAUUCCAUCUAAAGCUAAAUAUUGGCGAGAGACCGAUAGYGAACAAGUACCGUGAGGGAAAGAUGAAAAGCACUUUGGAAAGAGAGUGAAACAGUACGUGAAAUUGUUGAAAGGGAAGCGUUUGAAGUCAGUCGCAUCUGUUGGGAUUCAGCCUGGCUUCUGCCUGGUGUAUUUCCUUUCCGAUGGGUCAGCAUCAGUUUCGACCAAGGGAAAAAGACACUUGGAAUGUGGCUGUCUUCGGGCAGUGUUAUAGCCUUGUGUUGUAUGUCUUGGUUGGGACUGAGGAACGCAGCGCGCCAUUUUGGCCGGGGGUCGCUCCUCUCGACACGCGCUUAGGAUGCUGGCAUAAUGGCUUUAAGCGGCCCGUCUUG
rnacentral:rRNA from 1 species